CACUCUUCCUUUGCACAGGUUUUGAUAAAUCUCCCCCUAUGUAUUGAGACUACAUGUUUUGUAGUGAACAGAUGAAUAAAAGGUCUUCCUUCAACACCAAUUAUGUUAAAAGCUAAUCUAUUAUAAGAAAUCCUUUAAUAACACAUAUAUCCAAUAUUCACAGCAGGUAUAUAGUCUAUCAAUCUAGCCCUACGAGGGAUUGUAGUCAUAGAGAUAUAGACAAUCUGCAACAACUACAGAGGAGAAAAAAAUUUUAUGGAUGACCUGUUAACACCAGGCCACCAGUCCUGCAGAACUAGUAAGAGAAAUACCCACUAGCUGCUACCACAGGACUAGGGUUGUCCGGUGGACGCCAUCAUUGUAGCCCUGCAAAGAAAGCAGACAGAGAGAACUAGAGCUGCAGCCCUGGACAUAAGAAGGAUUAAACGGCUGCCGGGGAAGAGGACUCAUUAAACGGCAAGACUGGAAUGACUAUUGACUAUUCUAAGGCCAUAACAUUCAUUAAAUGGCACAAAACAGAACACAAUCCUGGCACCUGUAAAAUGACUGAACCAGAAAAUAUUGGAAGGAUACAUGAAUUUACAUUAAAGUGCAAUGAGAACAAACCUAACCAAGCAGUUCUGUGCGUGUCUGAUAUUUUUACUUUUGUAAAGAAUAACAUAAGGAGUCUGAUAGAACAGGAGUGAGCACAGAUAAGAGCUAGUCCUGUCUUGACUUUCUGGAAUUUGUCCCUGCCUGUGUUUCAGCUUGGACAAAGAAGAUGCUGCAGCCAGACAGGAUUAUGUUCUGGAUGGUAUGGGGACUCCUAGUGGUCUUUUUCAUGAUUUCUAUAAAAAGAAGAAGCAUUUUUCAUGAAAUAUAUUAGAAAGGUUA